rnacentral:rRNA from 1 species
CGAGUUUUAACUGAGCGUUCAGUUACUGGACGUAGACCCGAAACCGGGCGACCUACCCAUGAGCAGGAUGAAGCGAAAGUAAAAGUUCGUGGAGGUCCGAACCCACGAGCGUUGAAAAGCUCGGGGAGGACUUGUGGGUAGCGGUGAAAUUCCAAUCGGGCCCGGAGAUAGCUGGUUCUCCCCGAAAUAGCUUUAGGGCUAGCCUCAAGGUGAGAGAUACGGAGGUAGAGCACUGAAUGUCCUAGGGGGUAUUGCACCUACCGAAGACUAUCAAACUCCGAAUGCCGUCAUCUUAUACUUGGGAGUCAGACUGUGGGUGAUAAGAUUCAUAGUCGAAAGGGCAACAGCCCAGAUCGUCAGCUAAGGUCCCUAAAUGUAAGUUAAGUGGUAAAGGAUGUGGGAUUGCACAGACAACCAGGAUGUUGGCUUAGAAGCAGCCACUCAUUCAAAGAGUGCGUAAUAGCUCACUGGUCGAGUGAUCCUGCGCCGAAGAUUUCCGGGGCUAAAACUUACUACCGAAGCUACGGCAUCAGUAAUGAUGGGUAGGGGAGCUUCCCAUACGGGUUGAAGCAUGACCGUAAGGACAUGUGGACAGUAUGGGAGUGAGAAUGUUGGCA